GACGAACGCUGGCGGCGUGCUUAACACAUGCAAGUCGAACGGAAAGGCCCUGCUUUUGUGGGGUGCUCGAGUGGCGAACGGGUGCGUAACACGUGAGUAACCUGCCCUAGACUUUGGGAUAACUUCAGGAAACUGGGGCUAAUACCGGAUAGGAGCUCCUGCUGCAUGGAGGGGGUUGGAAAGUUUCGGCGGUUGGGGAUGGACUCGCGGCUUAUCAGCUUGUUGGUGGGGUAGUGGCUUACCAAGGCUUUGACGGGUAGCCGGCCUGAGAGGGUGACCGGCCACAUUGGGACUGAGAUACGGCCCAGACUCCUACGGGAGGCAGCAGUGGGGAAUAUUGCACAAUGGGCGGAAGCCUGAUGCAGCAACGCCGCGUGCGGGAUGACGGCCUUCGGGUUGUAAACCGCUUUCGCCUGUGACGAAGCGUGAGUGACGGUAAUGGGUAAAGAAGCACCGGCUAACUACGUG
rnacentral:rRNA from 1 species